rnacentral:rRNA from 1 species
UACGAGUUUGAUCAUGGCUCAGGAUGAACGCUAGCGGCAGGCCUAAUACAUGCAAGUCGAACGGAUAUAUGUUUUUCGGAAUAUAUAUUAGUGGCGCACGGGUGAGUAACACGUACAUAACUCGCCCUCAAGCGGGGGAUAGCCUUGGGAAACUGAGAGUAAUACCCCAUAGAAUUAUUGGACGGCAUCGUUUGAUAUUAAAACUACGGUGCUUGGGGAUAGAUGUGCGUCUGAUUAGCUAGUUGGUGAGGUAACUGCUCACCAAGGCGACGAUCAGUAGGGGGCGUGAGAGCGUGGCCCCCCACACGGGUACUGAGACACGGACCCGACUCCUACGGGAGGCAGCAGUAAGGAAUAUUGGUCAAUGGAGGGAACUCUGAACCAGCCAUGCCGCGUGAAGGAUGACGGCCCUCUGGGUUGUAAACUUCUUUUGGAUGGGGCGAAAAAACGGGAUUUAUCCUGGACUGACGGUACCAUCAGAAUAAGCACCGGCUAACUCCGUG